AGGAGUCCUUGACAAGAGGCAUCAAAAAAUACAAAACUAUAACACCACAAAAAGUGACACUGUUAAAGAAAGUGUGCAAGAUGUGUAAAACAACAACAAAAGGUGGGAAGACAAGUGGAGAAAGUCCCAAGUUCAGGAACUGAACCCUGGACCGCUACGUCUAUGACUAUUAGCCUCCACAUCAUUACGUCACGCACCACCCAAGCUACAUCAGAUUUUACUUUUCCGUACUGACCUCUUCCAGCAGUCGGGUGACAGCAUCAAUGUCGCUGUAGGUCUUUGUCAUCUGGCCCACUCUGUC